rnacentral:rRNA from 1 species
CCCCACUGCUAUCGAGGUGGGACUAAGCCAUGCCAGUCGAACGACCCGGACUAUGGCGGGGAGUGGCAGACUGCUCAGUAACACGUAGCUAACCUACCCUCGGGACGGGGAUAACCCCGGGAAACUGGGGCUAAUACCCGAUAGGUAUGGAUUCCUGGAAUGGUGCCAUGCCUAAACGUAAGCACAUCCAUGUUUGUGUGCACGCCCGAGGAUGGGGCUGCGGCCGAUCAGGCAGUUGGUGAGGUAACGGCUCACCAAACCUUUGACCGGUACGGGCCAUGAGAGUGGUAGCCCGGAGAUGGGCACUGAGACAAGGGCCCAGGCCCUACGGGGCGCAGCAGGCGCGAAACCUCCACAAUUCACGCAAGUGAGAUGGGGUUACCUCGAGUGCUAUCUGAAGAAGGUGGCUUUUCCAUGGUGUAAUGAGCCGUGGGAAUAAGGGGGGGGCAAGACUGGUGUCAGCCGCCGCGGUAACACCAGCCCCCCGAGUGGUGGGGAUGAUUAUUUGGCCUAAAGCGUCCGUAGCCAGCUCGGUAAAUCUCUCGUUAAAUCCAGCGUCCUAAGCGUUGGGCUGCGAGGGAAACUGCCGAACUAGAGGGUGGGAGAGGUCAGCGGUAUUCCUGGGGUAGGGGCGAAAUCCAUUGAUCCCAGGAGGACCACCAGUGGCGAAGGCUGCUGACUAGAACACGCCUGACGGUGAGGGACGAAAGCUGGGGUAGCGAAUCGGAUUAGAUACCCGAGUAGUCCCAGCCGUAAACGAUGCUGGCUAGGUGUUGGGUCGGCCAUGCGCCGCCUCAGUGCCACAGGGAAGCCAUUAAGCCU